UACGGAGGGUGCAAGCGUUAUCCGGAUUCACUGGGUUUAAAGGGAGCGUAGGUGGGCUGGUAAGUCAGUGGUGAAAUCCCCGAGCUUAACUUGGGAACUGCCAUUGAUACUAUUAGUCUUGAAUAUUGUGGAGGUCAGCGGAAUAUGUCAUGUAGCGGUGAAAUGCUUAGAGAUGACAUAGAACACCAAUUGCGAAGGCAGCUGGCUACGCAUAUAUUGACACUGAGGCUCGAAAGCGUGGGGAUCAAACAGG
rnacentral:rRNA from 1 species